rnacentral:sRNA from 1 species
CCUCUUCAAUCUGCUGUGGGCAGACGAAGUGGAUAUGCGCAUCAAUGCCCCCGGCCGUCACGAUGCUGCCCUCGGCGGCGAGCACCUCAGUGCCGGGGCCGAUCACGAUGUCGACGUGGGGCUGGGUAUCGGGGUUGCCGGCCUUGCCGAUGCCCGCAAUCCGGCCGUCACGGACCCCGAUGUCAGCUUUAUAGACACCGGUGUAGUCAAUGAUCAGGGCGUUGGUGAUGAUCAGAUCGACGGCGGUUUCAUUAUCACGUUGACUCUGGCCCAUGCCGUCGCGGAUG